UGCUGGAAGAUGGAGUGCUAUGGAGAGGAGCUUGUGGCGUAUGUGUUUUUCUGAGCUGUCACUUCUGUAAGCUGGGCUGGAGUAUUGUCCUGUCAAGUCCUGUCACGAUCUAAGUAUCAAAGGAGCCACCCACAAGUGAAGGAUACUAAAAAUGAAAAGCCAGGCUGCAAACCCCAGGGGAGAAACAUGACAAGGAAAGAGCCUGCAGAGAACAGCUUUCAUCAAUCCAACUGAUUUUCAGUCCACAGACCCCAAGCCUGCAGGAAGCUCUUCAGAGACUAAGUAAGCCCUUGUAGCAAGCCUGAAAAGGUAAAUGUAAUUACGGAUGCCUAUCAUAAUGUGACCAAAAGCAAUAUUAUAAC